rnacentral:rRNA from 1 species
GGAAUCUUCGGCAAUGGGCGAAAGCCUGACCGAGCAACGCCGCGUGAGCGAUGAAGGCCUUCGGGUCGUAACGCUCUGUUGUUAGGGAAGAACAAGUACCGUUCGAAUAGGGCGGUACCUUGACGGUACCUAACCAGAAAGCCACGGCUAACUACGUGCCAGCAGCCGCGGUAAUACGUAGGUGGCAAGCGUUGUCCGGAAUUAUUGGGCGUAAAGCGCGCGCAGGCGGUCUCUUAAGUCUGAUGUGAAAGCCCACGGCUCAACCGUGGAGGGCCAUUGGAAACUGGGGGACUUGAGUACUGGAGAGGAGAGUGGAAUUCCAUGUGUAGCGGUGAAAUGCGUAGAUAUAUGGAGGAACACCAGUGGCGAAGGCGGCUCUCUGGCCAGUAACUGACGCUGAGGCGCGAAAGCGUGGGGAGCAAAC